GAUGAACGCUGGCGGCGUGCCUAAUACAUGCAAGUCGAGCGAACAGACGAGGAGCUUGCUCCUCUGACGCUAGCGGCGGACGGGUGAGUAACACGUGGAUCACCUACCUAUAAGACUGGGAUAACUUCGGGACACCGGAGCUAAUACCGGAUAAUCUAUUGAACCGCAUGGUUCAAUAGUGAAAGUCGGUUUUGCUGUCACUUAUAGCUGGAUCCGCGCCGCAUUAGCUAGUUGGUAAGGUAACGGCUUACCACGGCAACGAUGCGUAGCCGACCUGAGAGGGUGAUCGGCCACACUGGAACUGAGACACGGUCCAGACGCCUACGGGAGGCAGCAGUAGGGAAUCUGACGCAAUGGGCGAAAGCCUGACGGAGCAACGCCGCGUGAGAGAUGAAGGUCUUCGGAUCGUAAAACUGUGUUAUUAGGGAAGAACAAAUGUGUAAGUAACUAUGCACGUCUUGACGGUACCUAAUCAGAAAGCCACGGCUAACUACGUG
rnacentral:rRNA from 1 species